AAGUCUCUCUUUUGAUAAAUUGGUGGAUAAUACAGUGUGGCUUUCAGUGGUGCAGGUGGGUUUGUUUGUCUUUCUCCCCAUUAACACUGCUGCGACGUGACGCAUUCAUGAAAAACAAAGCGCUCGCUAACAGUCUCACCCGUCAAAAUACUUAGGCCACCUCGUUAUACAAAUUGCAUGAAGUCUUUAAAUGACAGUCGCCGCUCGGUGGGAAUAUUUAGGCGCACGGACAUGCUUCUCAAGUAUGCAGAUGAAAAUAAAAGUGACGUAAUUGCUUGGGGGUUUCCUUACCACUUGAAAUGAAAACGUCCGGUGUAAACACGCGCACCUGGAGCAGUGCCUGGAAGAAACUGGGGCAAAGGUGUUUUGCUUAAGGGUACCUCAGUCGUCUCUUGCUGUGGUCUUGGGAAUCGAACCCGCGACCUUCGAGUUAACAGUUCGACUCAUGUGCAUCCGACUGCACACAAUCAUCUAAAGUUCACUAAUACAGACACUGCUGGCAGGUGGCUGUGACAGUUCUCUGUGGACAAGAAGCUUUAUCCGACCGUGAGGAUGGAGGAGAGAGAAGCGUGUUUAUAUUCACCCGUCCCUCCUGCUGGGAUCUGGAUUAAACGCUGGGUGUGCCCUCACUUCAGACCUCAACACUCGCUGGAAGAAGGUCCUCAAAAGGACUGCUGCUCACCUCAUCCAUUUUGCACCAAAAAGAGACUUGUGCUGACCCUUCUGGUCAUCCUUGUCCUGGUCAUAAUGACGAUGCUUCUGCUGCUGAAUUAUUACUGUAUUAUGAUCUGGCAAAUAUGUGAAGAGGAAGAUAUUUUAAAUCUGCCGAAUAUUGGAAGCACAGUUCUGGAAAACCAGUGACGUCCUGUGUUGUGGUGCACUUGUUAAGGUGCAUAUGUAUUAAGCUGCUGUUUUUUGUUUGAUUAUCUGCAAAGCCGCUUGAAAUGACCAGGUUCAUUGUGAUUUUGUGAAGAAAAUGAUUCACACUGUUAAGUUACUCAGUUCCUGAAUGUUAGUUUUUGAUUUAUUUAAAUGACAUCUUAGGUUUGUCAUUACAGUUUGGUUUGAAAAUUAUGUAUAUUUAAAAUGAGCAAAGUCACUGUGUUUAUCUGCCUGUUUAACGUGUUAAUCUUUAUCUCUAGAGCUGUAAAUGUAAGCAAAUACUAAAAAACUGCUUGUUUAAACUUUC